GUGCCAGCAGCCGCGGUAAUACGUAGGGGGCAAGCGUUGUCCGGAUUUAUUGGGCGUAAAGAGCGUGUAGGCGGUCAGGUAGGUCCGUUGUGAAAACUCGAGGCUCAACCUCGAGACGCCGAUGGAAACCAUCUGACUAGAGUCCGGAAGAGGGGACUGGAAUUCCCGGUGUAGCGGUGGAAUGCGCAGAUAUCGGGAGGAACACCCGUGGCGAAGGCGGGUCCCUGGGACGGUACUGACGCUGAGACGCGAAAGCUAGGGGAGCAAACAGGAUUAGAUACCCUUGUAGUCC
rnacentral:rRNA from 1 species